rnacentral:rRNA from 1 species
GGGGGGGGGGGGGGGGGGGGGGGGGGGGGGGGGGGGGGGCGGGGGGGGGUGUUGGGGGGGGGGGACGGGGGGGUGACGCGUAAGAACCUGCCGUUGGGAGGGGAACAACAACUGGAAACGGUUGCUAAUACCCCGUAGGCUGAGGAGCAAGAGGAGAAAUCCGCCCAAGGAGGGGCUCGCGUCUGAUUGUCUAGUUGGUGAGGUAAUAGCUUACCAAGGCGAUGAUAAGUAGCUGGUCCGAGAGGAUGAUCAGCCACACUGGGACUGAGAAACGGCCCAGACUCCUACGGGAGGCAGCAGUGGGGAAUUUUCCGCAAUGGGCGAAAGCCUGACGGAGCAAUGCCGCGUGGAGGUGGAAGGCCUACGGGUCGUCAACUUCUUUUCUCGGAGAAGAAACAAUGACGGUAUCUGAGGAAUAAGCAUCGGCUAACUCUGUG